AGGCAGCAGUGGGGAAUAUUGCACAAUGGGCGGAAGCCUGAUGCAGCAACGCCGCGUGCGGGAUGACGGCCUUCGGGUUGUAAACCGCUUUCGCCUGUGACGAAGCGUGAGUGACGGUAAUGGGUAAAGAAGCACCGGCUAACUACGUGCCAGCAGCCGCGGUGAUACGUAGGGUGCGAGCGUUGUCCGGAUUUAUUGGGCGUAAAGGGCUCGUAGGUGGUUGAUCGCGUCGGAAGUGUAAUCUUGGGGCUUAACCCUGAGCGUGCUUUCGAUACGGGUUGACUUGAGGAAGGUAGGGGAGAAUGGAAUUCCUGGUGGAGCGGUGGAAUGCGCAGAUAUCAGGAGGAACACCAGUGGCGAAGGCGGUUCUCUGGGCCUUUCCUGACGCUGAGGAGCGAAAGCGUGGGGAGCGAACAGGCUUAGAUACCCUGGUAGUCCACGCUGUAAACGGUGGGUACUAGGUGUGGGGUCCAUUCCACGGGUUCCGUGCCGUAGCUAACGCUUUAAGUACCCCGCCUGGGGAGUACGGCCGCAAGGCUAAAACUCAAAGGAAUUGACGGGGCCCCGCACAAGCGGCGGAGCAUGCGGAUUAAUUCGAUGCAACGCGUAGAACCUUACCUGGGUUUGACAUGGAUCGGGAGCGCUCAGAGAUGGGUGUGCCUCUUUUGGGGUCGGUUCACAGGUGGUGCAUGGCUGUCGUCAGCUCGUGUCGUGAGAUGUUGGGUUAAGUCCCGCAACGAGCGCAACCCUUGUUCACUGUUGCCAGCACGUUAUGGUGGGGACUCAGUGGAGACCGCCGGGGUCAACUCGGAGGAAGGUGGGGAUGACGUCAAGUCCUCAUGGCCUUUAUGUCCAGGGCUACACACGUGCUACAAUGGGCGGCACAAAGGGUUGCGAAGCCGCGAGGCAGAGCUAAUCCCAAAAAACCGUCCUCAGUACGGAUUGCAGUCUGCAACUCGACUGCAUGAAGCUGGAAUCGCUAGUAAUCCCAGAUCAGCACGCUGGGGUGAAUACGUUCCCGGGCCUU
rnacentral:rRNA from 1 species